AUGCCUUUUGGGGGGUGCCCUCAAUAUGUUGAAUGUGUUUUCCUUGGCUACAAUUUAGAGCACAAGGGUUACCGUUGUCAAACCCUAUUGCUCAAAGACUGGGGAUCUCCAAAGAUGUCACUUCUGACAAGUCUCGCCACCUCUACCCUUGUCAUUCUUCUACUGCCACCAAAGAGACUAUUCCUUCGUCUGCUCAUGAGCUUCAGCUUACACAGGAUGAGGUUUCUGUUCCUGACUCUCCUACCCGGGUUGAGUCAUUCACUCUCUCUCCUUUUCCAUUUGUCUACUCCCAUCGUGCUCAACACCCUUCUCCCUCUGAUGCACCACCUUCCCUUCCACUCCUUCCUCGUUGGGUCCCGUUCCUUCAGGGUCACCUACUCCCCCUUGCUCAGUAUAAUCCGAGUGAUUGCCACUCUCCAACCUCCUAUGUUGUUGUUGCUACCACUAUUGUUGAGUCGUAUCACGAGGCGGCUGCGGAGAGGCACUUGGGGCCUUGUACCACUGCCUACAGGCAUUAGACCCAUCACUUGCAAAGGGUCUACAAGGUUAAGACAAGUUCAGAUGAUUCUCUCGAGCACUACAAAGCUCGUCUUGUUAUGUGUGGCUUCCAGCAGGAGUAUGGUCAUGACUAUGAUGAGACCUUUGCUCAUGUUGCUCAGAUGA
rnacentral:rRNA from 1 species